rnacentral:tRNA from 14 species
GGGCGUUGCGGCCUGGUCCCAGCAGCUGCCUUCAAACCCGUCCCGGGGGCCGACGCCGCG